rnacentral:rRNA from 1 species
UACGGGGGGGCAAGCGUUGUUCGGAAUUACUGGGCGUAAAGGGCUCGUAGGUGGCCAACUAAGUCAGACGUGAAAUCCCUCGGCUUAACCGGGGAACUGCGUCUGAUACUGGAUGGCUUGAGUUUGGGAGAGGGAUGCGGAAUUCCAGGUGUAGCGGUGAAAUGCGUAGAUAUCUGGAGGAACACCGGUGGCGAAGGCGGCAUCCUGGACCAACACUGACACUGAGGAGC